rnacentral:sRNA from 1 species
GUGUAAGAUGCAAUAAUUAUGCCGAUGUAAAUUGUCAAAGUCGUAAUCAGAUUAUAUCAUCGUGUCUGUUUAUAUGCAAUAUAAAAGAACCUGAUAAAAUACUCAGGUUCUUUUUUGA